rnacentral:rRNA from 1 species
GUUCACGCCGCGUGAGUGAAGAAGGUUUUCGGAUCGUAAAACUCUGUUGUUAGGGAAGAACAAGUGCCGUUCGAAUAGGGCGGCGCCUUGACGGUACCUAACCAGAAAGCCACGGCUAACUACGUGCCAGCAGCCGCGGUAAUACGUAGGUGGCAAGCGUUGUCCGGAAUUAUUGGGCGUAAAGCGCGCGCAGGUGGUUUCUUAAGUCUGAUGUGAAAGCCCACGGCUCAACCGUGGAGGGUCAUUGGAAACUGGGGAACUUGAGUGCAGAAGAGGAAAGUGGAAUUCCAAGUGUAGCGGUGAAAUGCGUAGAUAUUUGGAGGAACACCAGUGGCGAAGGCGACUUUCUGGUCUGUAACUGACACUGAGGCGCGAAAGCGUGGGGAGCAAACAGGAUUAGAUACCCUGGUAGUCCACGCCGUAAACGAUGAGUGCUAAGUGUUAGAGGGUUUCCGCCCUUUAGUGCUGCAGCUAACGCAUUAAGCACUCCGCCUGCGGAGUACGGUCGCAAGACUGUAACUCAAAGGAAUUGACGGGGGGCCCGCACAAGCGGUGGAGCAUGUGGUUUAGUUCGGAAGCAACGCGAAGACCUUACAAGUCUUGACUCCUUUGGACAACCUAGAGAUAGGGUUUCCCUUCGGGGGACAGA